GCGGUGCCGGCGUGCUAUACAUGCAGUCGAGCGGACAGAUGGGAGCUUGCUCCCUGAAGUCAGCGGCGGACGGGUGAGUAACACGUGGGCAACCUGCCUGUAAGACUGGGAUAACUUCGGGAAACCGGAGCUAAUACCGGAUAACACCGAGGACCUCAUGGUCCUUGGUUGAAAGAUGGCUUCGGCUAUCACUUACAGAUGGGCCCGCGGCGCAUUAGCUAGUUGGUGAGGUAACGGCUCACCAAGGCGACGAUGCGUAGCCGACCUGAGAGGGUGAUCGGCCACACUGGGACUGAGACACGGCCCAGACUCCUACGGGAGGCAGCAGUAGGGAAUCUUCCGCAAUGGACGAAAGUCUGACGGAGCAACGCCGCGUGAGCGAUGAAGGCCUUCGGGUCGUAAAGCUCUGUUGUUAGGGAAGAACAAGUACCGUUCGAAUAGGGCGGUACCUUGACGGUACCUAACCAGAAAGCCACGGCUAACUACGUGCCAGCAGCCGCGGUAAUACGUAGGUGGCAAGCUUGUCCGGAAUUAUUGGGCGUAAAGCGCGCGCAGGCGGUUCCUUAAGUCUGAUGUGAAAGCCCACGGCUCAACCGUGGAGGGUCAUUGGAAACUGGGGAACUUGAGUGCAGAAGAGGAAAGCGGAAUUCCACGUGUAGCGGUGAAAUGCGUAGAGAUGUGGAGGAACACCAGUGGCGAAGGCGGCUUUCUGGUCUGUAACUGACGCUGAGGCGCGAAAGCGUGGGGAGCAAACAGGAUUAGAUACCCUGGUAGUCCACGCCGUAAACGAUGAGUGCUAAGUGUUAGGGGGUUUCCGCCCCUUAGUGCUGCAGCUAACGCAUUAAGCACUCCGCCUGGGGAGUACGGCCGCAAGGCUGAAACUCAAAGGAAUUGACGGGGGCCCGCACAAGCGGUGGAGCAUGUGGUUUAUUUCGAAGCAACGCGAAGAACCUUACCAGGUCUUGACAUCCUCUGACAACUCUAGAGAUAGAGCGUUCCCCUUCGGGGGACAGAGUGACAGGU
rnacentral:rRNA from 1 species